UACGUAGGGACCGAGCGUUGUCCGGAUUCAUUGGGCGUAAAGAGCUCGUAGGCGGCUGCUCAAGUCGAAUGUGAAAACUCGAGGCUCAACCUCGAGCCUGCAUUCGAUACUGGGCGGCUAGAGUCUGGUAGGGGGAUCUGGAAUUCCUGGUGUAGCGGUGGAAUGCGCAGAUAUCAGGAGGAACACCGGUGGCGAAGGCGGGAUCCUGG
rnacentral:rRNA from 1 species